UAUAGAGGGUGAGGCCUGCCCAAUGGUUGUAUCUAAAAACGGUUGAUAAAAGUCAACCUCGUAAGGACAAUUGAAUGGCCGCGGUAACACUGACCGUGAUAAUGUUGCGUAAUCAAUAGCCAAUUAAUUGUUGAGCAGUAUGAAUGGCGCCACGAAGGCCCCACUGGCUUAAGGAAAUUCCCAGUGAAAUUGAAUUCGUAGUGAAGAUGCUACGUCCUAUUUGUUAUACGAAAAGACCCCGCUGACCUUUACUGAAUUACUUACACGGCCCCGAACAUCCAAACUAAGCUUACGAUGCCUUUGGUUUGGCCGAAUUUACCUGGGCUUUUUAUACUAUUUGGUAUCACCCUCGUCUGUCAGAUGAAACCCCCACUCCCCCAUGUCAAAGGGGCUAUCCCC
rnacentral:rRNA from 1 species